rnacentral:rRNA from 1 species
CGGCGGACGGGUGGGUAAUGUCUGGGAAACUGCCCGAUGGAGGGGGGUAACUACUGGAAACGGUAGCUAAUACCGCAUAACGUCGCAAGACCAAAGAGGGGGACCUUAGGGCCUCUUGCCAUCGGAUGUGCCCAGAUGGGAUUAGCUAGUAGGUGGGGUAACGGCUCACCUAGGCGACGAUCCCUAGCUGGUCUGAGAGGAUGACCAGCCACACUGGAACUGAGACACGGUCCAG